UACGUAGGGGGCAAGCGUUGUCCGGAUUUAUUGGGCGUAAAGAGCGUGUAGGCGGCUUUACAGGUCCGUUGUGAAAACUCGAGGCUCAACCUCGAGACGCCGGUGGAAACCGUAAAGCUAGAGUCCGGAAGAGGAGAGUGGAAUUCCUGGUGUAGCGGUGAAAUGCGCAGAUAUCAGGAAGAACACCAGUGGCGAAGGCGGCUCUCUGGGACGGUACUGACGCUGAGACGCGAAAGCGUGGGGAGCGAACAGG
rnacentral:rRNA from 1 species